UACGUAGGGGGCAAGCGUUGUCCGGAAUCAUUGGGCGUAAAGAGCGUGUAGGCGGCCCGAUAAGUCCGCUGUGAAAGUCCAGGGCUCAACCCUGGGAUGCCGGUGGAUACUGUCGGGCUCGAGUCCGGAAGAGGAGUGUGGAAUUCCUGGUGUAGCGGUGGAAUGCGCAGAUAUCAGGAGGAACACCAAUAGCGAAGGCAGCUCGCUGGGACGGUAUUGACGCUGAGGCGCGAAAGCGUGGGGAGCAAACAGG
rnacentral:rRNA from 1 species